rnacentral:rRNA from 1 species
AUUGAACGCUGGCGGCAGGCCUAACACAUGCAAGUCGAACGAGUGGCGGACGGGUGAGUAAUGUCUGGGAAACUGCCCGCUGUAGGGGGAUAACUACUGGAAACGGGAGCUAAUACCGCAUCCCAUCGGAUGUGCCCAGGUGGGAUUAGCUUGUAGGGGAGGUAACGGCUCACCUAGGCGACGAUCCCUCGCUGGGCUGAGAGGAUGACCAGCGACACUGGAACUGAGACACGGUCCAGACUCCUACGGGAGGCAGCAGUGGGGAAUAUUGCGCAAUGGGCGAAAGCCUGAUGCAGCCAUGCCGCGUGUAUGAAGAAGGCCUUCGGGUUGUAAAGUACUUUAAGCUGGGAGGCGUUACCCGCAGAAGAAGCACCGGCUAACUCCGUGCCAGCAGCCGCGGUAAUUC